UCGGGGAUAUUGCACAAUGGAGGAAACUCUGAUGCAGCGACGCCGCGUGAAUGAUGAAGGCCUUCGGGUCGUAAAAUUCUGAUGUGAGAGACGAAGAAAGUGACGGUAUCUCACCAGCAAGCACCGGCUAACUACGUGCCAGCAGCCGCGGUAAUACGUAGGGUGCAAGCGUUGUCCGGAAUCACUGGGCGUAAAGGGAGCGUAGGUGGUUAUACAAGUAUUUAGUAAAAGGCAUGGGCUUAACCGAUGUAAGCUAGAUAAACUGUAUAACUUGAGUGCAGUAGAGGUAAGCGGAAUUCCUAGUGUAGCGGUGAAAUGCGUAGAUAUUAGGAGGAACACCAGUGGCGAAGGCGGCUUACUGGGCUGUAACUGACACUGAGGCUCGAAAGCGUGGGGAGCAAACAGGAUUAGAUACCCCCGUAGUCC
rnacentral:rRNA from 1 species